rnacentral:rRNA from 1 species
GGACGAACGCUGGCGGCGUGCCUAAUACAUGCAAGUCGAACGAACUCUGGUAUUGAUUGGUGCUUGCAUCAUGAUUUACAUUUGAGUGAGUGGCGAACUGGUGAGUAACACGUGGGAAACCUGCCCAGAAGCGGGGGAUAACACCUGGAAACAGAUGCUAAUACCGCAUAACAACUUGGACCGCAUGGUCCGAGUUUGAAAGAUGGCUUCGGCUAUCACUUUUGGAUGGUCCCGCGGCGUAUUAGCUAGAUGGUGGGGUAACGGCUCACCAUGGCAAUGAUACGUAGCCGACCUGAGAGGGUAAUCGGCCACAUUGGGACUGAGACACGGCCCAAACUCCUACGGGAGGCAGCAGUAGGGAAUCUUCCACAAUGGACGAAAGUCUGAUGGAGCAACGCCGCGUGAGUGAAGAAGGGUUUCGGCUCGUAAAACUCUGUUGUUAAAGAAGAACAUAUCUGAGAGUAACUGUUCAGGUAUUGACGGUAUUUAACCAGAAAGCCACGGCUAACUACGUGCCAGCAGCCGCGGUAAUACGUAGGUGGCAAGCGUUGUCCGGAUUUAUUGGGCGUAAAGCGAGCGCAGGCGGUUUUUUAAGUCUGAUGUGAAAGCCUUCGGCUCAACCGAAGAAGUGCAUCGGAAACUGGGAAACUUGAGUGCAGAAGAGGACAGUGGAACUCCAUGUGUAGCGGUGAAAUGCGUAGAUAUAUGGAAGACACCAGUGGCGAAGGGCGGCUGUCUGGUCUGUAACUGACGCUGAGGCUCGAAAGUAUGGGUAGCAAACAGGAUUAGAUACCCUGGUAGUCCAUACCGUAAACGAUGAAUGCUAAGUGUUGGAGGGUUUCCGCCCUUCAGUGCUGCAGCUAACGCAUUAAGCAUUCCGCCUGGGGAGUACGGCCGCAAGGCUGAAACUCAAAGGAAUUGACGGGGGCCCGCACAAGCGGUGGAGCAUGUGGUUUAAUUCGAAGCUACGCGAAGAACCUUACCAGGUCUUGACAUACUAUGCAAAUCUAAGAGAUUAGACGUUCCCUUCGGGGACAUGGAUACAGGUGGUGCAUGGUUGUCGUCAGCUCGUGUCGUGAGAUGUUGGGUUAAGUCCCGCAACGAGCGCAACCCUUAUUAUCAGUUGCCAGCAUUAAGUUGGGCACUCUGGUGAGACUGCCGGUGACAAACCGGAGGAAGGUGGGGAUGACGUCAAAUCAUCAUGCCCCUUAUGACCUGGGCUACACACGUGCUACAAUGGAUGGUACAACGAGUUGCGAACUCGCGAGAGUAAGCUAAUCUCUUAAAGCCAUUCUCAGUUCGGAUUGUAGGCUGCAACUCGCCUACAUGAAGUCGGAAUCGCUAGUAAUCGCGGAUCAGCAUGCCGCGGUGAAUACGUUCCCGGGCCUUG